UACGUAGGGUGCAAGCGUUGUCCGGAAUUAUUGGGCGUAAAGAGCUCGUAGGCGGUUUGUCGCGUCGGCUGUGAAAACCUGGGGCUCAACCCCGGGCCUGCAGCCGAUACGGGCAAACUAGAAUUCGGUAGGGGAGACUGGAAUUCCUGGUGUAGCGGUGAAAUGCGCAGAUAUCAGGAGGAACACCGGUGGCGAAGGCAGGUCUCUGGGCAUUAACUGACGCUGAGGAGCGAAAGCAUGGGGAGCGAACAGG
rnacentral:rRNA from 1 species